rnacentral:rRNA from 1 species
GACGAACGCUGGCGGCGUGCUUAACACAUGCAAGUCGAACGGAAAGGCCCUGCUUUUGUGGGUUGCUCGAGUGGCGCACGCGUGAGUAACACGUGAGUAACCUGCCCUUGACUUUGGGAUAACUUCAGGAAACUGGGGCUAAAACCGGAUAGGAGCUCCUGCUGCGUGGGGUGGGUUGGAAAGAGUCGGCGGUUUGGGAUGGACUCGCGGCUUAUCAGCUUGUUGGUGGGGUAGUGGCUUACCACGGCUUUGACGGGUAGACGGCCUGGGAGGGUGACCGGCCACCAUGGGACUGCGAUAGGGCCCAGACUCCUACGGGAGGCAGCAGUGGGGAAUAUUGCACAAUGGGCGGAAGCCUGAUGCAGCAACGCCGCGUGCGGGAUGCCGGCCUUCGGGUUGUAAACCGCUGUCGCCGGUGACGAGGCGUGAGUGACGGUAAUGGGUAAAGAAGCACCGGCUAACUACGUG